rnacentral:rRNA from 1 species
GAUGAACGCUGGCGGCGUGCCUAACACAUGCAAGUCGAACGGAGUCCAGCCUUUAAGACCUUCGGGUCAAAGAGGGGAAGACUGAGUGGCGGACGGGUGAGUAACACGUGGGCAACCUGGCUCAUAGAGGGGGAUAACAGAGAGAAAUUUCUGCUAAUACCGCAUAAGCACACACUGCUGCAUGGCAGAGGGUGAAAAGAGAAUCGCUAUGAGAUGGACCCGCGUCUGAUUAGCCAGUUGGCAGGGUAAGAGCCUACCAAAGCGACGAUCAGUAGCCGAUCUGAGAGGAUGAACGGCAACAUUGGGACUGAGACACGGCCCAAACUCCUACGGGAGGCAGCAGUGGGGGAUAUUGCACAAUGGGGGGAACCCUGAUGCAGCGACGCCGCGUGAGUGAAGAAGUAUUUCGGUAUGUAAAGCUCUAUCAGCAGGGAAGAUAAUGACAGUACCUGAAUAAGAAGCCCCGGCUAACUACGUG